UCUGUAUAGUAUCACUACUGAUGAGCAGCAUGACCUUCUGUCUAUACCCUUGUCUUUUGCGCACUCAUGUUUCCUCGGCGGCUUCAUACCCGCCGGUUGGAUCAUUCUAUAACCUGUUUAAUUUUCAAUCAGCGUCUGAAAAACCUAAUAAUUACAACUUUCAACAACGGAUCUCUUGGUUCUGGCAUCGAUGAAGAACGCAGCGAAAUGCGAUAAGUAGUGUGAAUUGCAGAAUUCAGUGAAUCAUCGAAUCUUUGAACGCACAUUGCGCCCCUUGGUAUUCCAUGGGGCAUGCCUGUUCGAGCGUCAUUUGUACCCUCAAGCUCUGCUUGGUGUUGGGUGUUUGUCUACUACCGUAGACUCGCCUUAAAGUAAUUGGCAGCCAGUGUUUUGGUAUUGAAGCGCAGCACAUUUUGCGCCUCUAGCCUAAAAUACCCGCGUCCAGUAAGUCUUUUCCACUU
rnacentral:misc_RNA from 1 species